GUCAGACGGGGAAAGAUAUGCCCAUUAGUAGUGCAUCUUUAUUAAGUUUGAGGAGAAAGAGUAAUUAAUUCAUCUUGUGGCAUGCGUCCACACUUGUUAACAAAUUAACCCUUUUUAAUUUGUGUCUUAAAAGUACUUUGUUAACAUUUGCAACCCAAGAUAUGAUCUACUUUUGCUAAUAGUGGUAAAAAUAGAGGAUCCAGAUUUCCAGAUUCUAUGUUGUACAGAAUUAUUCUUUGCCAACAAUAAUUUUGCUAAGUUGCUCUUGCCUCUCAGUGUUAUUAGUAUGAAUAUUCUAUGCAGCUGAACUUAUUUGCUAGAGAGANNNNNNNNNNNNNNNNNNNNNNNNCACCCUCAUUUGCAGCUUAUUUCAGGUUGUUGCUCAAUCAGGUGAGUUUGUCUUUUCUGCUUUUCAGUUCACAUCUGUUGGCAUGAAUUUACCCGUGCACUUGGUACUAGCACUGAUGAUAAUUUGGACCUGUCACUGUCAGACGGGG
rnacentral:lncRNA from 1 species